GAUGAAGAACGUAGCGAAAUGCGAUACGUAAUGUGAAUUGCAAAUGCAGUGAAUCAUCGAGUCUUUGAACGCACAUUGCGCCCCCUGGUAUUCCGGGGGGCAUGCCUGUCCGAGCGUCAUUGCUGCCCUCAAGCACGGCUUGUGUGUUGGGCCCCGUCCUCCGAUCCCGGGGGACGGGCCCGAAAGGCAGCGGCGGCACCGCGUCCGGUCCUCGAGCGUAUGGGGCUUUGUCACCCGCUCUGUAGGCCCGGCCGGCGCUUGCCGAUCAACCCAAAUUUUUAUCCAGGUUGACCUCGGAUCAGGUAGGGAUACCCGCUGAACUUAAGCAUAUCAAUAAGCGGAGGA
rnacentral:misc_RNA from 1 species